AUUGAACGCUGGCGGCAAGCCUAACACAUGCAAGUCGAACGAGUGGCGGACGGGUGAGUAAUGUCUGGGAAACUGCCUGAAGGAGGGGGAUAACUACUGGAAACGGUAGCUAAUACCGCAUACCAUCAGAUGUGCCCAGUUGGGAUUAGCUAGUAGGUGGGGUAAAGGCUCACCUAGGGGACCAUCCCUAGCUGGUCUGAGAGGAUGACCAUCCACACUGGAACUGAGCGACGGUCCAGACUCCUACGGGAGGCAGCAGGGGGGAAUAUUGCACAAUGGGCGCAAGCCUGAUGCAGCCAUGCCGCGUGUAUGAAGAAGGCCUUCGGGUUGUAAAGUACUUUCAGCGGGGAGGCGUUACCCGCAGAAGAAGCACCGGCUAACGCCGUGCCAGCAGCCGCGGUAAGAC
rnacentral:rRNA from 1 species